GAAAUGCGAUAAGUAAUGUGAAUUGCAGAAUUCAGUGAAUCAUCGAAUCUUUGAACGCACCUUGCGCUCCUUGGUAUUCCGAGGAGCAUGCCUGUUGAGUGUCAUGGAAUUCUCAACUCUAUUUGCUUUUGUGAAUAGAGCUUGGAUUUGGAGGUUUAUUGCUGGUACUUGUGAUCGGCUCCUCUUGAAUGCAUUAGCUCGAACCUUUGCGGAUCAGCUAUCGGUGUGAUAAUUGUCUACGCCGUUGCAGUGAAGCAUAUCAAUGGGCUCGGCUUCCAAUCGUCCUUUACUGGACAAUGACUUUGACCUUUGACCUCAAAUCAGGUAGGAUUACCCGCUGAACUUAAGC
rnacentral:misc_RNA from 1 species